GGGCAUCCUGAAGCCUAGUGGGUAAGGUGCUUGACUGGGAGUCAGGAGGUUGGUGGUUCCAGUCCCUCAAGUCCA